CCCUUAGAUGUUCUGGGCCGCACGCGUGCUACACUGAUGCAUUCAACGAGUCUAAAACCUGGUCUGAUAGGGCUGGGUAAUCUUUAGAAAGUGCAUCGUGAUUGGGAUAGAUGAUUGCAAUUCUUCAUCUUCAACGAGGAAUGCCUAGUAAACGCAAGUCAUCAGCUUGCAUUGAUUACGUCCCUGCCCUUUGUACACACCGCCCGUCGCUCCUACCGAUUGAAUGAUCCGAUGAAUACCAUGGAUUGAGAGUACGAAUAGGUUCGCUUAUUUCUGCUGCUCGAGAAGUGGAGUAAAUCUUAUCAUUUAGAGGAAGGAGAAGUCGUAACA
rnacentral:rRNA from 1 species